rnacentral:misc_RNA from 1 species
CGGUGUUGAAGAGGAAGAGGCCGGCGAGGCUUGAUAUUCCGGUGACGGCCAUGGGGUUCGAAGUACCGAUCACGCCGGCGGUUGAGGAAGCGGUGAUAGAGAGAGAGGGGUCUGUAUAUUCCGUGUAUUGUAAAAGAGGGAGAAGAGAGGCUAUGGAGGAUCGCUUCUCUGCUGUUCUCGACCUUCAGGGAGAUCCCAAGCAGGUAUGCUUUGUCUUACUUUCUUGUAUCUGUCAACAAUUUUUUUUUUUUUAACUUUUAAAAAUAAAAAGUUAAGCUUAAAUUGGAUUUAUCUGGUGAGUAGAUUCAUGGUUUCAUGAAUUUCAAUUUUUUGUUUUAAUUAUUAGGUUUUCAUGAUCAAAUACUGAAAAUUUUCAGUAUAGGCAUUGAAAUCUACUGAGCAUAACCCUAUGAUUUGUAUAAUUAAGUUCCAUUCGGUUUGUGAUUACCUUUGAAUUUGGUACCUUUGUGUGUCUUAAAUGCAGGCUUUCUUUGGUAUUUUUGAUGGGCAUGGAGGUUCUAAAGCUGCUCAGUAUGCAUCAGAAUACUUAGAUAAGAACAUUGUAAAAGAAAUUGACAAGAGGGAUGAAGAACAACUUGAGGAUGCAGUAAAACACGGCUAUUUGAACACGGAUUCUCAGUUUCUAAAGGAGGAUUUGCGAGGUGGCUCGUGUUGCGUGACAGCUCUGGUUCGAAAGGGAAAUCUUGUUGUAUCCAAUGUAGGAGAUUGUCGUGCUGUGGUGAGCAUAAGUGGUGUUGCUGAGGCCCUAACAUCUGAUCAACGCCCUUCUAGGGAAGAUGAGAAGAACAGAAUCGAGAACUUGGGUGGCUAUGUUGAUUUGAUCCAUGGUGUUUGGAGAAUUCAAGGAUCCUUGGCUGUAUCCAGGGGUAUUGGAGAUGGCCAUCUUAAGCAGUGGGUAAUCGCUGAGCCUGAGACAAAAAUUAUAAAGAUCAACCAUGAUCAUGAGUUCUUGAUACUAGCUUCUGAUGGCUUGUGGGAUAGGGUUGGUAAUCAGGAAGCAGUAAACAUUGCUCGCCCAUAUUGCGUAGGAGUUGAUAGACCAGAACCAUUGGCUGCCUGUAAAAAGCUUGUCGAUCUAUCUGUUUCUCGAGGUUCCACAGAUGAUAUUAGUGUAAUGCUGAUCCAGAUGAAGUGCUAUAUCUAAUUAUGUUGUCAUUCUUGGAAUUACUGCUGACGUAUCUGUUGAUUCAGUCUAAUCUAGUGCUAGUUUUGAAAACUCUGUGGAUUUUUUUUCCCAUGAGAGAAAUAGACAGAUCCAUUCAUUCAUUUAUUCUUUUUAGAAUUAUAAUUUUAUUUAUAGUAUGAAAAUAAUGACUUGUAAAUCUUAUUACAUAAAUAAUUUUUCUGGAAAUACAUUCACCGUGUCUAUGAG